GAACGAUGAACUCCAGCUUGCUGAGGGGAUUAGUGGCGAACGGGUGAGUAACACGUGAGUAACCUGCCCUUGACUCUGGGAUAAGCGCUGGAAACGGCGUCUAAUACCGGAUACGAGCUUCAGCCGCAUGGCUAGGAGUUGGAAAGAAUUUCGGUCAAGGAUGGACUCGCGGCCUAUCAGCUAGUUGGUGAGGUAAUGGCUCACCAAGGCGACGACGGGUAGCCGGCCUGAGAGGGUGACCGGCCACACUGGGACUGAGACACGGCCCAGACUCCUACGGGAGGCAGCAGUGGGGAAUAUUGCACAAUGGGCGAAAGCCUGAUGCAGCAACGCCGCGUGAGGGAUGACGGCCUUCGGGUUGUAAACCUCUUUUAGUAGGGAAGAAGCGAAAGUGACGGUACCUGCAGAAAAAGCACCGGCUAACUACGUGCCAGCAGCCGCGGUAAUACGUGGGGUGCAAGCGUUGUCCGGAAUUAUUGGGCGUAAAGAGCUCGUAGGCGGUUUGUCGCGUCUGCCGUGAAAUCUGGGGGCUCAACCCCCAGCCUGCAGUGGGUACGGGCAGACUAGAGUGCGGUAGGGGAGAUUGGAAUUCCUGGUGUAGCGGUGGAAUGCGCAGAUAUCAGGAGGAACACCGAUGGCGAAGGCAGAUCUCUGGGCCGUAACUGACGCUGAGGAGCGAAAGCGUGGGGAGCGAACAGGAUUAGAUACCCUGGUAGUCCACGCCGUAAACGUUGGGAACUAGAUGUGGGGACCAUUCCACGGUCUCCGUUUCGCAGCUAACGCAUUAAGUUCCCCGCCUGGGGAGUACGGCCGCAAGGCUAAAACUCAAAGGAAUUGACGGGGGCCCGCACAAGCGGCGGAGCAUGCGGAUUAAUUCGAUGCAACGCGAAGAACCUUACCAAGGCUUGACAUAUACCGGAAACGGCCAGAGAUGGUCGCCCCGCAAGGUCGGUAUACAGGUGGUGCAUGGUUGUCGUCAGCUCGUGUCGUGAGAUGUUGGGUUAAGUCCCGCAACGAGCGCAACCCUCGUUCUAUGUUGCCAGCACGUUAUGGUGGGAACUCAUAGGAGACUGCCGGGGUCAACUCGGAGGAAGGUGGGGAUGACGUCAAAUCAUCAUGCCCCUUAUGCCUUGGGCUUCACGCAUGCUACAAUGGCCGGUACAAAGGGCUGCGAUACCGUAAGGUGGAGCGAAUCCCAAAAAGCCGGUCUCAGUUCGGAUUGGGGUCUGCAACUCGACCCCAUGAAGUCGGAGUCGCUAGUAAUCGCAGAUCAGCAACGCUGCGGUGAAUACGUUCCCGGGCC
rnacentral:rRNA from 1 species